CGGAACCGGAUCCCGGAAGUGAGCUGUGAAGCGGAACAAUACAGGGAUUGCUACCCGGUCCGCGAUCCGAACCGGGGCCGCGCGCACUCUGCCAGCCGGUACCGUGCCCUCCCCUGACCAGUCACCAUCACCACUGUCCAUUGCUGGAUAAGCCCCGCGGGCCGGGGUUGGGUGGGCCCGGGUCGGUGUGUGAGAGGAAGCAGCUUCCUGUCCAGCAUGGAGCAGUGACAACCUGCAGCACACGGAACCAGGCGGACAUAGUGCUGGCACAGCGGACCAUGGGGGAGGCUUAGCCUUAUCAAUG